AGGGUUCGAUCCUGGCUCAGAACGAACGCUGGCGGCGUGCCUAACACAUGCAAGUCGAACGAGAAAGUUUCCUUCGGGGAACUAGUAAAGUGGCGCAAGGGUGAGUAACACGUGAAUAAUCUGCCUACGAAUUCGGGAUAACUCGACGAAAGUUGUGCUAAUACCGGAUAAGACCACACUUCAUAUGUAGAGUGGCCAAAGGAGUCUCAAACUCCGUUUGUAGAUGAGUUCGCGGACCAUUAGCUUGUUGGCGGGAUAACAGCCCACCAAGGCUACGAUGGUUAGCCGGCCUGAGAGGGUGAUCGGCCACACUGGAACUGAGACACGGUCCAGACUCCUACGGGAGGCAGCAGUGGGGAAUAUUGCGCAAUGGGCGAAAGCCUGACGCAGCAACGCCGUGUGAGGGAUGAAGGCUUUUGAGUCGUAAACCUCUGUCAGAUGGGAAGAAUUAUGACGGUACCAUCAGAGGAAGCCCCGGCUAACUCCGUGCCAGCAGCCGCGGUAAUAC
rnacentral:rRNA from 1 species